rnacentral:sRNA from 2 species
CGAACUCGAACUCGAACUAUUCUCUUAAUUCGACUCAUUUAAACUUCCGGCACGAAAGUUUUUUUUUUUUCCUUUUUGGAAAAGAGGAGAGAGAUACGACGUAUAUAUCGCGCCUAGGUUCAAAUAUAUAUGGGUUGCCUCUUCAUGCGUUCACGAGGACAAAGUGAUGGAGAGGAUUGUUUGCUUGAGCUGGGAAGGGCUAGGCUGGUGGUGUUAUUUUUGAGAUAUUUCUCUCUCUCUCUCUCUCUCGGAGGCAAGCAGCCAGGUAAGGCAACAGGCAACAGGCAAACAGGCAGGAUGCUGCAGCUGUUCCUGCACGGGCGUUGCCCCCUCCUCUCCGCCUUUCCCCCGGAAGAGAGAAAAAGCAACAAGCCCGCAGAGGGCAGCAAG